UACGUAGGGUGCAAGCGUUAAUCGGAAUUACUGGGCGUAAAGCGUGCGCAGGCGGUUAUAUAAGACAGUUGUGAAAUCCCCGGGCUCAACCUGGGGAACUGCAUCUGUGACUGUAUAGCUAGAGUACGGUAGAGGGGAUGGAAUUCCGCGUGUAGCAGUGAAAUGCGUAGAUAUGCGGAGGAACACCGAUGGCGAAGGCAAUCCCUGGACCUGUACUGACGCUCAUGCACGAAAGCGUGGGAGCAAACAGG
rnacentral:rRNA from 1 species